AUGAACGUUGGCGGCGUGGAUUAGGCAUGCAAGUCGAGCGGAAAGGCCCGCAAGGGCACUCGAGCGGCGUAAGGGACAGUAAUGUGUAGGUACGUACCCCUGGGACUGGGAUAGCUGCGGGAAACUGCAAUUAAUACCAGAUAACGUCUUCGGACCAAAGGUGUGAUUCCGCCUGGGGAGCGGCCUGCAUCCUAUUAGCUAGUUGGUGUGGUAAUGGCGCACCAAGGCAAAGAUGGGUAGCAGGUGUGAGAGCACGACCUGCGUCACUGGGACUGAGACACUGCCCAGACACCUACGGGUGGCUGCAGUCGAGGAUCUUCGGCAAUGGGCGCAAGCCUGACCGAGCGACGCCGCGUGUGGGAUGAAGGCCUUCGGGUUGUAAACCACUGUCAGAGGGGAUGAAAUGCCGUUGGGUUCUCCCAGCGGUUUGACAGAUCCUCAGAGGAAGGGUGGGCUAAGUUCGU
rnacentral:rRNA from 1 species